rnacentral:lncRNA from 1 species
UUGUAAUGAAGCUCUUUUCAAAUUUACAAAUUUUGAAAAUAAAAAUAAAAAUUCAAUGAUUUCAUAUCAAACUUAAGAUAUUCCUAAACUUAAUGCGUACAAAAAGAGUCUUUUGAAUCAUUUAUUUUUAUAUUCACUCUUUUUUUCAUUCUUUCAAAAGCCACUCUGUUUGUUUAAAUCACCUGAUGGGUACCACUACAAAAUCCAUUAGAAGUUUUUUUCGGGUAUCAUUUAUCAACAUUUGUGUAGGCC